rnacentral:piRNA from 1 species
UAAAUUUUAUUGUGUCAAAAUCCCUUUCUC